ACGAGGAGAGACAGGUAGACGGUGACAAUAAGAGGAGAUGGAGAGACGACAUUGACAACGAGGGGAGCUAGAGCUGUGUCGAUGAUAAAAGCGGAAAGAACGGAGACGGCGAGAGGAGCAAUAACGCACGAGAUAAUAAUAGUUACGAGGAGAUCAAGUUGAAAGGUGGCAUAAAAAAUGACGGAAAGGAAUUACGACAUGAAGUAAAGCAUGGCAGUGGCGGUAGACUGGAUGGAGAGCGGAAGUGAGAAUAGACAACGACGACGCCAAGUCAUUUCGCCACUGGCUUCGAAGAAAGUUAAACCGUUGUCCGCGCCUAGAAUAAUGUGCCCAUGAGAGAAGUUAAGCUAAGGCGAACUAUAACUGAUAAAGUUUAAUACAUAAAAAUACUGAACCAUUGAGUAUAUUAUCAUGAUAAGAACUAGUGGCCUAGUGGUAAGGAUAGGCAAAUAAUUAGGAUCCUUGAUUGAUUCUAUAACAAUCUGAUAACAAUCUGAUCUGGUCCGAAAAGUUGGAUAUCUGAAAUCUCUUGUUUGUUAAACUUUAUUUUGUUUAUACUCUUUUGUUUGUUUAAAUGUGACUGGUCAUUAUCAUGAUAAUGGCCCCAAUAGUUCAAUAUAUGUAUAUAUUACGCAUAGAGUACAAUCAUUUUGGUAGUUAUUUUUUAAGAACACGCGUUUAUCAUUGUAUCUCAAUAUAUAUAUAUAUAUCAUCCCUGAACAGAGCAAAUCGGAGGCAAUACAAUUUCCGGCGACCGAUAAACAGCCGGCUAGGUUACAUACAAGAUAGAAAAAACACUCAAAAAUAUCUUUAUUUAUAAGAAAAAUAUCUUUAGUUUGAAUAAAUAAAACCGUUAAAAUAGAUAUACGAGAAAAAGUUCUUAAUAUUAUCUUUUAAAUUCUUGUUUGAAAUAUCGUUGCUAUUAUUUUCAUAUGGGUUUAUUAUUUAGAUACUAAACAUAAACUAUAUGUUCAAAGUAUUUCUAAAAGCCGUUCAAAAUUUUGACACAAUUUUAAUAUUAAAAGAAAAAUAUAAUAAAAAAGUGAGAAAUUUAAAAUAUUAUAAUAUAAUCAAGAUUGUAAAAGUUUUAAAAUCCCAGAAAACAAUUAUAUCUCAUUUGUUGAUUCUAAUUUUAAAAAGAAAAAAAACAUAUAAUUAAUUAACUUAUAUUAUAAUAUUAAUUAUAAUGUUUUUGAAAACUAAAAAUGUGUUAAUUUUUUAAACAACUCUAUUCCUAAGAUUACAAGAAAUCUAACAAAAAUAAAAUAAUAAUAUAAAUAUUAAUUGAUUCAUAGAGUUAUGAGAUUUUAUUGUUAUCGAUAAUACAUAUUAAUAUUAGAGAAACAUGUAUAAAACUGAGUUGUCAAAUAGAUAUAUAUGUUAUGGACAAAUAAUCACAUGCCUUCCUACCUCACCUAAAUCUUUGUUGUAUUUAUCCUAAAAACAAUUACCCAAUCAAAUAUGAACAAAUUAUGUAGUAUAUUUAUUAACGAAAAAAACUCUGUAUUUUCGUUUUAAUUUUCUAUAUAUAUAUGUCUAGAGAGGACAUGGUAAAGCUUUGUGGAACCACAAGUGAUUAAGUUGAGGACAAUUGCUAGCGGCAGCUUUUAGCAUGGAGAAUGAAGUUCAGCGUCCACUAGCUGAUUUUCCAGUGAACAUCUGGGAAGAUAUCUUCACUUCGUUCUCAAAUUCGGAUCUUGUACGUAAAUCAUUUUGAUAUAAUUUUUUUUGUCGUACAUAGUUUAUAAUAUAGGAUUCCCUUAUAGUAUAUCCUAUUAUUAUUUGAUUCACUGAUAUGUCAACUCAUAAUAAUUCACUUCCAUAUAGGGAAGUGAUAAACUUAAAGAGAAGCAUAUUACUCUAAAGGAGACUGUGAAGGAGUCGUUUAUGGCUUCAAGAGCGAACCCAAUAGAGAACAUCAAGUUCAUUGACACGCUAUGUCGCCUUGGUGUCUCCUAUCAUUUUGAGAAAGAUAUCACAGACAAACUGGAGAAGUCGUUUGAUUGUCUUGAUUUUAACCAGAAGAUAAGACAAGAGAGAUGUGAUUUGUACACGGUUGGAAUAGUUUUUCAAGUUUUUAGGCAAUUCGGGUUUAAACUUUCUGCUGGUAAUUAUUUUUUUUUCUUUUAAAACGUUUCUAAUGAAACGAGGAAAUUAUUAUAUGAAUAAAGUUUACUAAGAAAAUAGUUUUGAUCUAACGCAAUUUAUUUUAGUUACGAAAAAAAACAUUUGUUUGCAUUUGACUUAACGCAAUUUUGUAUAUUUACGUCUCAAGAUGUGUUUAACAAGUUCAAGGACGAGGAUGGGAAGUUCAAAGCACACUUAGUGGCUGAUGCAAGGGGCAUGUUAACCUUAUAUGAAGCUGCACAAUGGAGCACUCCUGGAGAAGAUAUUCUUGAUGAAGCUCUCGCUUUCUCAAAUGCUCAUUUAGAAGAAAUUUCUUCUCGGUCUAGCCCUCAUCUCGCUAUACGCAUCAAGAACGCCCUAAAACAUCCAUUUCACAAAGGCAUCUCCAGGAUAGAAACGAGGAAAUUUAUCUCAUACUACGAGGCUGAAGAGAAGUGUGACUCAACAUUACUUGAGUUUGCAAAGAUCGACUUUAAUUUGUUGCAGAUGCUGUACCGCCAUGAGCUUGCUUGUGUAACAAGGUAAUUAUCUCGACUGCUCAGCACAUGCAUAUAACCGUACCUGAGAUAUUGGGAUCUAACUCAAAAUAAAAAUAAAAAUAUAUUAAUUUUAAAGGAUAAAAUAUAGUGUGUAAAAUAAUUAUAAAACAGAAACAAUUUAAAAUAUAUAUAUAUAUAUAUAUAUUAUCAUAUAAUUAUAUCAACAUAACUAUAUCAUAAUAAUAUUUGAUAAUUUUAUAUAUUUUACCCUAUAGUUAUAUCUCAUAGGUAAAUAGUAAUAUUUAAUUCACAUAAUAUUAUAUUGUCUAUUUUAAUAUAAUAUAAUUUAUAUGUAAAAUUAUCUGGGUAAAGUAUUUUUAUGAGAAUUCUGAUAACAAAAUCUAUAAAACAAUUGUGCCACGCCUUUAUUGCUGAUAUUUGUUUAGAAGUGAAGUUCUAAAAAGGGGCUAUUGGGAUGUCUCAUUGAAAUGUCACCAACACCGGCUCUGCAACACAUAUUAUACAGGGGCUAGGGGUGGGCGUCGGGUACCCGUUCGGAUUCGGGUUGGGUAUUUUAGAUUUUCGGGUAUUUCGGUAUAGAGGUGUAGAACCCGUUCAGGUAUUUUUGAACUUCAGGUCGGGUUCGGGUAUUUUAGUUCGGAUUCAGUUAUUUCGGAUCAGGUUCGGAUAUUUAGAUUUUGAAAAAAAUAUUAAAAUCUUCAUUUCUCAAAUUUCUUGUAUUUAAAAAUAUAACUUUCACUUAACUAAUUUUUUUAUUUUUAAAAGAUUAAUGAUUAAUAGAUUUGGUCAUAACAUUUUAAACUAAAAAGAUAUUAAUUUGGUUAUUGUUUUAAAAUUUGGAUGUAACUUUUUCUUAAUUCUUGAAAUAAAAAGUUUGACAUGCAUUUUAAGUGAGUAGCAAAUCAUUUUCUCUGUAAUUGUAUGUAUAUCAUAUGAACUUAAAGUAUGUGUAGUAUUAAUAUAAAUAUUUUAUAUAAAAUGAGAGAUGUAAACUACAAAUAUAAGCUACUUCGGUUGGAUUUCGGUCUGGAUUAUUCCGAUCGGAUUCGGAUGCGGCUUCGUAUAUUGAGUAAAGUGCCCACCCCUAACAGGGGCGUAUCCACGUGUGGAGUGGGUGUGGCACUAGCCAAAUGUAAAAAGAGAGAAGUAGACAUGCGGAUUUUGUCUGAACCGAAUUAAUCGAACCAAACCAAACCAAACCAAAAAUUUAGUUUUUAGUUUGGUUAAUGGUUCGAGUAUGAUUUAUUUCGGUAGAGUUUUAAAAAAUAAUAUGGUUUUUGGUUUGGUUUUUGAUUUUCAAAAUAAAACCAAAAUUAACCAAAAGCGGAACGAAACUGAACUGGACCAAUUUUUCGGUUUAAUUUUGGUGGGAUUGCGGUGGAAUUAAAUAUACCGAAACCUAAAAUACCUGAACUGAAAUAACUGAAUAAACUGAAACCGCAUGCCUAGAGAUAGUGUGUAGCUAUUUUAGGUCUCUAAGGCUCAAGUGUGCCCCCACAGAAUCCAAGUUUGAACUCAUGUGUUUUUAGUCUUUCAAAUUUUCUAUAGACUUUUAUUACUUUUUCAUAAAUAUUUUAUCUUGUUCUUACUACCUAAAUUUUUUCGUUUUUUAUAGUGUUUUAUUUCCGUUCUUUAAUAUUAUUUUAAAAUAAAAUAAUAACUUAUUAGUUUUGACUUUCACAAAUAUUUUAUUAAGUUUACUUUUUAAUACUUUGGAUGAAAAUAAAAACUAAAAUGAAUAAGUUUUUAUAAUGCAAUUACUAUGUGAAUAUAUAAUAUUAUGAUAAUACUAAAAAUGGAUAACUAAUUUUUAAAAAAAUAUUUAUUUUUUAUUUAUUUCUUUUUUUAAAUGAUGACUAAUGUAUUUUAAAAAGAAUAAAUUAGUUUAAUUUAAUAUAUUAAAUUAGAUUUAGCAUGUUAAAUUAUUUUAUUGAUCUGCUCCUCACACUAUAUGUAUUAGUCUGGCAUGAACUUGACCUUCUUCAUCAAAUUUCAGGUGGCACAAAGAAAUUGAGUUUGAAUCUAAAAUAAUAUACGCAAAACAUAGAGUUGCCGAGGCAUGCUUGUGGGCAGUUGGAACAUACUUUGAGCCUGAGUAUUCUCAAGGACGAGUUUUACUAGCUAAUGUAGUCAUCUUACUCACAGCGCUUGAUGAUACGUAUGAUGCGUAUGGCAUAUAGAAUUUCGAAUCGUAUAAAACUCAAUAAUAAGAAUAACUCUCUUAUUAAUCUCUUAAGGAAAACUCACUCAAAAACCUUAAGUUCUCACACAAUCACAAAACUCGUAAGUUAUGCAACACACUUGCAUCUCCUUAUAUAUAACUCAAAUUACCUAAACUCAUUAGGUAUAACAUAAUUGGAUAUUUUCCUAAUCCUUUAAAACAUAACUCGGUAGGAUUAGAAGUUAACUUAUUUCUCAAGUUUCCUUUUUCCUUCAAGCUUAAUCCAACAUUCUCCCCCUUAAGCUUGAACUCCAGUUUCGAUAAAUCUUCAACACCUCUCAUCUCUUUGAACUUAAAUCUUCCAAGUGCACAUGAUGAAAUCGCCACAAUCUCUUGUUUGCUCAAACACCACGUAACUAGACAUCCACCAAAUAAAAAACUAUGUCCUGCCAUACUUUUGCCAUCACCUGUGGCAACAUUAUAACUACUAUUAGCUCCAACAAUUGGUAGUUCCUUAUCCGUGACAAACAGUUCAUCCACGUACACAGCCAUGAUAAUCAGAUUAUCUUUUUCCUCCUUUUGAUACAAUGACACUUCCUUACACGUUUCUAUCCAUUGCUCCUUGUUUAUUAUCACCAAAAAAUGUACACACUCUGUUUUUGUCAUAAGAACAAAAUCACUCAGAUACGCUGGCCUCACACUCAUUCUCGUUGAUCUCCUAAACUGAGGCUGUGACCAUUCUUGUUCUUCAUCACCAUAGUCAACCUCAUCGUCAUUAUUUUCUUCUUCCUUUUUGUCUAAUUCCUCUUGAUUUAUCAUGUUUGCCCUCAUAACUCGAGGGUUCUGAGAACCAUCACUUCCAAACUCUCUUAAGCCAAUAAUAAACGUUACGGAAAUCCAAAGACUUUCUUUUCCAGCAUAAUCUGUCCUUGCAUAACCAAUGUAACCAAAAAUUCUAAGCACCUCAACGUUUGGUUUCUUCCCUUUCAGUUCUUCGUAUGAAGAUCUUUCAACUAACGAUCUGCUUGCUAUCUUAUUAAUUAAAUAUGUAGCACAUCUCGCAGACUCUCUCCAUAGAUAGUUAAGUGUACUUAUGUGCUUUAAGAUACUCUUAGUCAUCUUUGCUAGCGUCCUAUUAUGCCUUUCCACCACUCCAUUACGUUUAUGAACGUAAAGUGCAAUCAAGUAUCUCUUAAUACCGUGUUUAUUGCUGUAGUCUUGGAACUCAUAAGACACCAGCUUUCCAUCUCUAUCGGUUCGUAACGUUUUGGUCACAGUUCUCGUUUCUUGUUCAGCAAGUAUCUUGAACUUAUCCAAUACCUCACUUUUUGAAUAACCCUUCAGACGCUCAACCUCUCUUUUCUGAUCAUGUAGUUUGAUUGCCACUUCCUGUAGCUCAUGGAAAAACUUAUCUGUAAACGGUUUUCCAUAGUUCUUAAACAUAACGGAGUCAACUAGUGACAUAAGCUUCUGAAACUUCUCAGCCUUCUCGCGCUUAUCUUUGUUUUUGUUAUCAAACAGUAUCUUUUGAUUGUCACAUAAUUCAAGAAUCUCUUCCAGAAACUCAGGGCACUCCUGACCCAAGUAGUCAUCCAACGUCUCGUUCGUCAUGCUCUCACUUUUUGCUUCAGUGUGGUCCGCAAUGUCAACUAGAUCCUCCACAUGUGAUGGCCAGAUCUCUUCGUAUUUGGAUGACAUGAGAAGACCACUGAUUCCAAUUAGCUGCAGUUCUGUUCUAGGUACUGGCUUAGAAGACAAGAACUGAUCCAUGAUGUUCAUGGUUAGGUAAAAAGGUUCAGGGUUAAGCUCGAAUCUGACACAUACAUCUACCAACCAUUUAACCAGAAUAAUUCUCAUCUUCUCGUUAAUCUCAGGCUUUGACCUCAUGUAAUCUUUUGAACGCCAUUCACUCUCAACAGAUUUAUACAAACUGUAGAUAUCUUCCACAUAUUCAACAGAUGCAAGGUCAUCCUUAGCAUCAGUAGAGUCGACAUCAAAAAUCUCUUCUUUCUGUUUCUUCUCAAAACAGCAAACAGUCUUGCUUCUCGCGGUAAGAACAUACGUGUAAGAGACAGCUGUUUUAUUUUUAGCGGCCGGGGAUUUCUUCUCGAUCUCAUGGACAGCAACUAAGACAUGUUCUUCAUCACUGUGUGAGAUUAUCUCCAUAACAUCUACAUCCUUAGGUUUCUCAGCUCUUUUCUUUGGCUUUGGUACCACGACUCUCUUCACCACAAGCUUGACGAGUGGGGCAUGCUGAGAGCAUGUACGAGGAAGAUUGAUCUUAGCCGUGUCAUUCUUUGGGUGAUUUCUUCGAAAAACAUUGUCGAUAUCUUCAAAAACUUGACGGUUUCUCCCUUCCCCAGCAUUCUUCUCAUCAUCUUCCACAACAAUAGCAACAACAUCACCCAUGGUUUGCCAAGGAACAAUCGAUCUCCUUAGAUUUGUUCUCUUCUUCUUCUUCUUAUUCUUCACUUUCUUCUUCUUCUUCUUCACUCUCUUGAAGUCUCCCAUAGUUUUGUUGGCUUCUCCUAAGCGUUUUAUUGUUUCCUCUUGAAGCUUACUCACUUCAUCAUGAGCUAUCAACCACUCUUCCGUCUGUUUCUUCAAGUUGAUUUCUUGAAGCUUAAGCAAUCUUUGGUUGUAUGAACCGUUCUUAUAGCUAUCGGAUCGUCCACUACCUCUUGCUUCAACUUGUUUUUCUUCCUUCUUCAACUUUGUUGUUCUUAUUGCUCUGGUUCGAUGAAUAAUAUCCGUCGUGAACAGUACCCGUGAAUAGUACUUCGAUGAUGAACAGUGCUCAGGGUUGAUUUCCACCCACGUAUAUUCCAACUUCGUUUUACCCUUCUUCUUCUUUGUGAAUAUCAACCCAAACCUUGUAUUUAACAUAUGUGACGUGUAAAACUCUUGUAUACACCAUUCAUGAUUUUGCACCACAUUCACGUAAACCUCCAUGUCUUUUCCAUGUUUAACGUCCAACUGCUGCUGUGCCUUGUCUCCGGGUAUAUCAAAAACCCAGUUCCUGAACCUCCAUCUCGUCUUCUUCUUUGCAUUCUUUCUCUGCUUCUGAGACAGCUUCUCCAUGGAUGCAAGACGUGCACCUUCUCCGUCACAGGCCAUCACCUGUGUUUUCAUAUCUGAUUUAAUCAGUGGGAUCUCGUUCUUUCCUUCCUUCGUUAUCACCGGCUGGAUCAUAUUCAAGAUCGGUUCAUAACUCACAAUCACCUCUGAUUUUUUGGUCACUUCUUCUUUCGCUUUCUCACUCUCGAGGGAUCCUCGAUCCAUCAUCGCGAUGAUUCUAUCGAUGCAUCUCAUCACCUGAUUCAUGCGCUCUUCAAAGGAUCGAAACCUGGCUCUGAUACCAAAUAUAGAAUUUCGAAUCGUAUAAAACUCAAUAAUAAGAAUAACUCUCUUAUUAAUCUCUUAAGGAAAACUCACUCAAAAACCUUAAGUUCUCACACAAUCACAAAACUCGUAAGUUAUGCAACACACUUGCAUCUCCUUAUAUAUAACUCAAAUUACCUAAACUCAUUAGGUAUAACAUAAUUGGAUAUUUUCCUAAUCCUUUAAAACAUAACUCGGUAGGAUUAGAAGUUAACUUAUUUCUCAAGUUUCCUUUUUCCUUCAAGCUUAAUCCAACAUUGCACAAAAGAGGAACUUGAGCUUUUCACAUAUGCAUUGGAAAAGUACUCGUUUUCCAUGUUUUUUUUUUUGUAUUUAUCGAUGGCUGGCUUAUUACAUGACUUGCUAAUGCAGGUGGCUUCCCGAAGCACCUAACGGGAUACCUGACAGCAUGAAACACCUUUACCGGACCAUAAUCGAUUUCUAUGAUAAACUCGAGGAUGAGCUUGAGAAGCAAGGAAGGUCCGGUUGUGGCUUCCAUCUUAAAAAAUCAGUUAAGACCUUAAGAUUCAAUUUUACGAAUACUUUAAUUAUUUUUUAUUUAUUUUAAAAUCCUCAUUAUCAGACCUAACUGAUGAUUUUUUCUUAAUCAGUUGAAAUCAACAUCCAAUGGAUACAUGCAAGAAGUAAACUGGUUGAAAAAGGAUUACACUGCUAAAUUUGACGAGUAUAAAGAGAAUGCGAUCUUGUCUUCCGCUUACUAUGCCAUAAUGGGCGUGACAUUCGUCGGAAUGGGAGAAGUGGCGAAACUUGAUGCUUUUGAAUGGUUAAGUUCGCAUCCUAAAAUUAGGACAGCAGCAGAGAUUAUCUGUCGAUUCACAGAUGACAUUACUAGCUAUGAUGUGAGCACAAACUUGGAGUUUAGAGUCCUAACCAUAUAUAAAGUAUAUCCAAGUUUUUUUCUAUCCAAAAAAAAAGUAUAUCCAAGUUUUAAAAAAAAUGUAUUUACACGUAUGUCUCAAAUUGAAUAUUUUUUUGCCAAGGUAUUGAAUACUUUUGACAUAUUGGCAUAUCAUGAUUGCAGUUUGAACACAAAAGGGAACACGUAGCGACGGGCAUCGAUUGUUACAUGAAGCAGUUUUGUGUUUCCAAGGAAUUAGCCGUACAUGGAUUAUUCAAUAUUGUAUCAAAUGCUUGGAAGGAGUUGAAUCAAGAGCUAAUGAGGCCUCACUCGUUUCUUUUCCCUUUCUUGAUGCGAAUUCUUAACCUUUCGCGUAUCAUCGAUGUCGUCUACAGGUACGAAGAUGCUUACACCCACCCCGAAUUCUUAAAAGAGCACAUUGUCUCUUUGCUCAUUGAAAAUAUCCCCAUUUAAGAAUUUUAUUGUGGUGGACUGGUGGAGAUUAUUACAAUCCAUGGAAUUCCAUAACGCAAUGAUGGCAAGGUAAAUUUCGCAUAUUAUGGUAGUUGAGCUAUGUCGAUCCAACAUAUUAUUUGUAUUUUUUAAUCCCUGUCGGUCUGUGUUGUACUGAUUUUUAUCAGUAAAUUGUUUUUUUUUCUUAAACACUUAUCAGUAAAUUGUUUUUAUUUCAAUUUUUUUCAACCCAUUUGUAUUUUAACUAUUAUUUCCAUGACUCGAUUUCUAUUGGGAUAUAUAUAUAUAUAUAGAAGAUAUAUGUAAAUAUCAUAAGCUAGUGGUUAAUCAUGUAAUUAGUAGUAAGUAGUUUACCCUAGUGUACAUGUAUAUAAGGAGGUUACUCAUCUAAUAAUAAGAUAACUUUUCCUAUAAUCUAUAUGGUAUCUGAGCUUACGCUCCUACAAACCUAAAUUUUUCAAACCUAAACCAAAAGCCGCCAUCAUGAGUUCAUCGUCAAACACCAAUGAGAUCAUCUCUCUCAACAGAAACACAACCACGCUUCUCAACCUUAACAUGUCUAAUGUUACUAAACUCACCAGCACCAACUACCUUAUGUGGAGUCUUCAAGUUCAUGCCUUACUGGAUGGGUAUGCUCUCGCCAAACACCUUGACUCCACAGUCGUCGCUCCUGCUGCAACGAUUACUACUGACGACGUUGCUACUGAAAAUCCUGAGUUUGUGCACUGGACAAGAUAGGACAGACUGAUCUAUAGCGCUCUCCUUGGCGCCAUCUCACCCUCAAUCCAACCGAUAGUCUCUCGAUCCACCACUGCUGCUCAGAUCUGGGAGAGGCUUGCUGAAACAUACGCAAAACCGAGUAGGGGACAUAUAAAACAGCUCCGAGAUCAGCUGUGCUUCUUCACCAAAGGUAACAAGACAGUCGAUGAGUAUAUCCAAGGUGUUGUAACCAAGCUUGAUCAACUUGCCAUCCUUGGAAAGCCAUACGAUCAUGAGGAUCAAGUUGAGAUCAUACUUGGAGGGCUUCCUGAAGAAUACAAAAACGUGGUUGAUCAGAUCGAAGGCAAAGACACUGCCCCGAGUGUUCCAGAGAUACAUGAGAGACUUCUCAACUACGAAGCCAAGCUUCUCAAUGGCAAAGACAUCUCCUCUGUGAUUGUUCCCACCUCGGCGAAUGCAGUUCAACAUCGCAAUCAGACCAACAACAACAACAACCGCAACUACAACAACCGGAGAAACAACAACAACACCAACUCCUUCAGCAAUGAUCCUAAUCGGCAAUAUGCGGCUUCUACCUACAGACCUGAAACACGCACAUUCAAGCCCUAUCUUGGGAAGUGCCAGCUGUGUAACACACAGGGUCACAGUGCAAGACGAUGCCCUCAAUACCAACCAGCUCAGCUGCUCAUGAAUCAACAACAAGCCAACAUUUUUCUCCCAUGGCAGCCGCAGGCCAAUCUGGCUAUGAAUGCACCGUAUACUGCUACAAACUGGCUGCUUGACUCGGGGGCGACGCACCACAUCACGUCGGACCUCAACAAUCUCUCCAUGCACCAGCCAUACCGCGGUGGUGAUGAUGUUCUAAUCGCAGACGGUUCUGCCUUGCCGAUUACUCAUACGGGUUCCUCCUUACUUCCAACUCAAACUCGUGACUUUUCUUUACAGAAAAUUUUAUGUGUUCCAAAUAUUGACAAGAACUUGAUAUCAGUAUAUCGUCUGUGCAACACUAAUAGAGUUUUGGUUGAAUUUUUCCCUGCCUCUUUUCAGGUGAAGGAUCUCAGCACGGGUGUCCCAUUGCUCCAAGGCAAGAUUAAGAAUAAGCUGUAUGAAUGGCCAGUCUCGAUGUCUCAGGCAAAGGCCAUGGUUACUGCAUCAACUCCAAAAACAUCUCUUCUUCCGUGGCAUUCUCGGCUCGGCCACCCUUCUUUUUCAGUUUUAAACACUAUUAUUUCUCAGUUUUCUUUACCUUUUUCUUCUCCAAAACAGAAACCUUUGUCUUGUUCUGAAUGUUUGAUUAAUAAGAGCCAUCGUUUACCUUUUACAAACACCUCUAUUGUUUCACAUCGACCUCUAGAGUAUGUUUUCACAGAUGUCUGGUCGUCUCCUAUUGUCUCAGUCGACAAUUUCAAAUACUACAUCAUCCUUGUGGAUCACUUCACUCGAUACACGUGGCUCUAUCCACUCAAGCAAAAAUCUCAAGUUAAAGAAGUCUUCAUUGCAUACAAGGCGCUUGUCGAGAACAAGUUUCAAACGAAGAUAGGCACAUUGUUUUCUGAUAAUGGGGGUGAGUAUAUUGCCCUACGUGCCUUCCUUGCACAGCACGGCAUCACUCAUCUCACCUCACCGCCUCAUACACCGCAACACAAUGGUGUCUCCGAGAGAAAACAUAGACACAUUGUUGAGACAGGACUCACGCUUCUCUCUACUGCGUCUAUACCCAAACACUAUUGGACGUACGCCUUCUCUGCUGCUGUAUAUCUAAUCAACCGGUUGCCCACUCCGGUCCUUGAUCAGCAAUCACCAUAUCAUAAACUGUUUGGCGUCACACCAAACUAUGAGAAAUUGCGAGUGUUCGGAUGCCUGUGUUUCCCAUGGUUACGGCCCUACACCACACACAAACUUGAGGCUCGUUCUGUCAGGUGUGUCUUUCUUGGGUAUUCACAAACCCAAAGUGCAUACUACUGCCUUGAUGCUACAACUGGUCGUAUAUACACUUCAAGAUAUGUUCAAUUUGAUGAGAAUGUGUUUCCAUUCCCGACCCUCGUCUCUUCUUCACACUCUGCCCAAGAAGAAACGACUCCUGUGACUACCUCUACGUUUAUUCCAGUCACGGAACUGGCUUCGCCUUGUCAGGGACACCCAAGCUCGAGCCUUCACCCGCCGAUUCCGCAAACGACAUUGCCAUCUCAGGUAUUGCCUCCUAACUCUUUGUCUCCAACUUCUGCUCCUCCCCCUGAGCCCACUGCUCCUUCUGAAAAUGAGCCGCAAUCCUCGGCUCAGCACAACCCUGUACCAAUAGAGCCCACUGCUCAACAACAAAAUGAGUCGCAACCCACGACUCAGCCAAAUCCACUUUUAAACACGACUCCACCCCUACCUGCCCAGUCUCAUCAACCCAUUUUACCACAAAAUCCUACACACACACAACAACCACAAAAUAUCCAUAAAAUGCAAACCAGGGCCAAAAAUAAAAUCUCUAAACCAACUCAAAAACUAACUCUAUCAGUUGCAGGUCACAAAAGUCUGGACAUUGCUCCCACAACAAUAGCUCAAGCCUUGAAAGAUGAUGAGUGGAGAGGUGCCGCCAAUGCUGAGUUUGACGCACAUAUCAAAAACCAUACGUGGGAUCUUGAGCCGAACACACAUGAGCACAACGUCAUUGGAUGUCGAUGGUUGUUCACCACAAAAUAUCUACCCGAUGGAAGGAAACGAUGUCGCAAAGGUCGUCUCGUCGCGAAAGGAUACACUCAGCAACACGGGAUUGACUACUCUGAGACUUUCAGCCCGGUUAUCAAGUCCACCACAAUUCGGCUUGUUCUAGAUAUAGCGGUUACAAAGUCAUGGCCUAUCAAGCAACUAGACGUCAACAAUGCAUUUCUCCAAGGUGAGCUAACAGAACUGGUAUACAUGAUGCAACCGCCUGGGUUCGUUGAUAAAGACAGGCCCAACCAUGUCUGCCGCCUUCGCAAACCGAUAUAUGGCUUGAAACAAGCACCUCGGUCGUGGUACUUGUCGCUCAAGCAACAUCUCCUCAGCACUGGCUUCGUCAACUCCAUGGCUGAUGCGUCUCUAUUUGUGCACUCACGUGGUUCAAUCAUCACUUAUGUUCUGGUAUAUGUAGAUGAUAUACUGGUCACCGGCAACAACUCCACAUUCGUCUCACAAGUACUCGCUGCCUUUGCUGACCGCUUCUCCAUAAAAGACCCGGUUGAUCUUCACUACUUCCUUGGCGUUGAGGCGACUCGCACAUCUCGUGGUCUCCACUUAAUGCAACGGAAGUACAUCACUGACUUGCUACACAAGAAUAACAUGACUGAUGCGAAGCCGGUUUCUACACCAAUGCAAACCACACCUAAACUCACACUUGGCAGUGGCGCUCUACUUCCAGAUGGCUCCCAGUACCGAUCUCUCGUCGGAAGCUUCCAAUACCUCGCCUUCACGCGACCUGACAUCUCCUAUGCUGUUAACCAUCUUUCACAGUUCAUGCACAAGCCGACGGUUGAUCACUGGCAAACGGCAAAGCGCGUGCUCCGAUAUCUUGCGGGCACCAGCUCUCACGGUAUCUAUAUUCACAAGAACUCCUCCUUCUCACUUCACGCCUUCUCUGAUGCGGAUUGGGCGGGUGACACAGAUGACUUUGUGUCCACAAACGGCUACAUUAUCUACCUAGGUAAGAAUCCGGUUUGUUGGUCCUCCAAAAAGCAAACAGGCGUCGCUCGUUCAUCCACUGAAGCGGAAUACCGUGCGGUCGCCAACACCGCCUCUGAGGUAACUUGGCUGUGUUCACUUCUCUCGGAACUUCAUCUUCAGCUAUCAGUUCCUCCAGUCAUAUAUUGUGACAAUAUUGGUGCAACAUACCUCUGUGCAAACCCCGUCUUUCACUCUAGAAUGAAGCACAUUGCCUUGGAUUAUAACUUUACGAGGAACAUGAUACACGCCGGGCAGUUACGAGUACAGCAUGUAUCCACAAGGGAUCAACUCGCCGAUACACUGACCAAACCACUCCCGAGAUCACAUUUUUCAGAUUACUAGUUCCAAGAUUGGAGUGAUCCAACUCCCUCCAUCUUGAGGGGGCGUAUAGAAGAUAUAUGUAAAUAUCAUAAGCUAGUGGUUAAUCAUGUAAUUAGUAGUAAGUAGUUUACCCUAGUGUACAUGUAUAUAAGGAGGUUACUCAUCUAAUAAUAAGAUAACUUUUCCUAUAAUCUAUAUGGUAUCUGAGCUUACGCUCCUACAAACCUAAAUUUUUCAAACCUAAACCAAAAGCCGCCAUCAUGAGUUCAUCGUCAUAUAUAUAUUAUAUAUAUAUAUUUUUUGGUCGACUUCUAUAAUGUUGUAAAUAACAACCACACAAUGGCAAGAACAAUUUGACCUUGAACUAGAAUAAGACACACAAAUUCGCUGACACUCUUAGACGAACUCGCAGAUGUAAGUGAGAAAGUAUAAGUUUGUAGAAUUAUGGAGAACAAAAGAAGAACACGGAGUAAACAUAGCUAGAAGAUAGACACAAGCAAUUGUUUACCGAGAGUUCACCUAGAAUGACUACAUCUGAAACCAGCUGGCAAAGAGGCAAUCCGUUAUAAUGUCAAGUACAAAGAUAUAUAACAUCUCUCUCUCAGCCUAACGGCUUGCUUGGUAUGAAAACACACACACAAAAGAUUAGAAUACAAGAGCUCCUCUUAUAUAGAAAUAGUCUAUUACAUUAACCUAUUUGAUUAGGGUGUCUGUCCCUUUCUAUAAACUUAUUUCCAAAAUACUUGCAACUUCCAUAACUCCAUGAAAGUAACAUUUCCAGGAUCCUAUGUGUUGAAACCACAAUAGCAAAACUGUUUGACCUUAAACAAGAAUCAAACACACAAACUACGACACACUUUCUGACCGACUCGUCGACGUAAGUUAGAAAGUAUAAGUUUGUAGAAUUAUGGAGAACAGAAGAAGAACGCGAAGAUAUAGAAGAUGGACACAAGUAAUAGUUUACCCAGAGUUCACCUAUAGAAUGGCUACAUAUCUUGGGUCUGGCAAGAGGAAAUCCACUAUAAUCUUAAGAACAAAGAUAUAAAACAUCUCUCUCUCUCACAAGCUUACAAUGGACUUACUUGGACAAGAGAGAAAAGAACACACGAGCUCCUCUUAUAUUGUAUGAGUCUAUUACAUUACCCUAGUUGGAUUAGGGCAUUCGUUUCUUUCCAUAAACUUAUUAGGAAUAUUUCCAAAAUACUUUAAACUUCCAUAAACCAUGAAAGUAAUAUUUCCAGGAUCCUAUCAACUUCCAUAACUCCAUAAAAGUGAUGUUUCCCUUUCCUAAUAUGACGUCCUUGUCUUGGUUUAAGUUAUGCGAUCUUGUUUGAUUUCCAUCACCAAAUUCUGACAGAUUCCUUGAUGGUGUCUCAGAUGAAGUCAUUGACGAAUCCCAACAAACUCCACCUUGAUGACAUCAAACAUGAUCCACUACUUAGGUUAAGUAAACUCGUGCUUUGCCAGGCGAUGCCGAAUGCUCCUCAGUGUUUGGAAUUCCCACAGAAGUUCACCGCUUCCUCAAACUUCUUUGUCGGAACCACCUUGGUUAAUAUAUCAGGAGAAUUCUUAAAAGUAUAUAUCUUCUUCACACUUACAUCACCUUGAGCGAUAAUAUCCCUAAUGAAGUGCAUCAUUCUGCUGAUGUGCUUAGUCCUCUCAUGAUACACAUUGUUCUUUGCUAGACACAAUGCACUUUGAGAGUAACACGAUAUCUCCACCGUGUCUUGCUUGCAGCUCUCCAUGGACUGUAUAACCCAUCCUCCUCCGCAAGACACAAACCAUUGUCUCGACUCCUCCAUAUCUGCUCUCGUUCGUACGAGUGUGGGAGUGGCCAAUGGUUCACACUCCAAGGCUUAUUAAGAUCGCUUUUAUUUUGAAAGAGCUAAAUUUGUGCUGACCCUCUUCAGAUCCUCUUCUUGCUUUGUCAACUCCAAACCCUGUAAUUUCACCAUCUUCAUCGCAGCUGCACUUCCAUAUAAAUGAUUUUAGAACUGUCACCAUGAGGCUCCUUGUUGUCUAGGACUUGAUAUUCAAUUCUUUCCCAACGAGCUCUCUAGAACCGAAGUUCUUGAUUCUACUUUUAGCUGCCAUGGUUUACAUUAAUAUUUUCCGUCGUUGCGCUGUACAUUCAGACAUAGAACUGCCACAGUGAUACUCCUAAAGAUUGAUUUUGCAUCAUUUUCUUUUCCCGCUGAGUUCUCCGGAGUUUAUUGUCCAUCUCUUCUUUACCAAAGAAUUUUUACGGAAAAUCUCCUCUCAUCAGUUGGUACUUCAACGCAUGUGCGAAUGUGCUAUUCCCUCUGUACCGUCGACGACUCUAGGUGUAGUCCUACUUCGGCAGCCUCUCCGCAUCUCAUUCCAAUGUCACCUAAACUUAGCAUCUCCCGACUCUGUCAACUGAUAUCCUUCAUAGGAUGUACCGUCUGUUUCUCUGUGUGUAGUCCUACUCCGACAGCCUCUCCGCACCCAAUGCAACGUCGAGAGAUAAGACGGCUUUCAACUGCUCUCAAAACCUAUUGGUUGUGUUUUUCGACGUCAAUCUCGACUUCUUUGUGUUUUUUCGAACAUGGGUUUUAAGACUGCAAGUAAAGACUUUCUACGAGUUUUUUCUCUCCUUAUCCACCUCUAUAUUUUAAUAUGUUUUAGUUAUGUUAGCUUAUCAGCUUACUGUCAAAUAUCUCUACGGUUAUAACAGACUUAGUUCAUCAGACGUUUAAUUUUAAUAUAAGAGAAAAAUAUAUGGUAACUAGUAGAUUAUGUAUUAUUUUUUUAACUUAAUACAUUUACAAUUGUGUUGACGAGUGUUUUCAUACCUAACUUGGAUCUACAGUUAAAUAGCUGAAUCUGGGGACCUGUAUAUUAUUCAGUUGGGAUUUAACUAAAUCCUUGCUACUUAAAAACCUGAUAAAACUUGGUAAAGGGAAAAACCCACCAUUAACCCGUCAUUUGACAUUGGUUAACCAGUAUAAAAUUAAGAUAAAUCUGAUAAUAUUUAAUAGUGAAUUAAAUUGAAUAAACAAUUUGAUUUGUUAUUAUUUAUUUAUUUUUAAAUAGUAAUUUAUGACAUCAUUUAAAGAAAAUAAAGAAAAUAAUGAUAGAAGAAACCAAAAUGUAUUGGCAGUUUUUAGUAUUAUUUUUCAUUUAUUGAUAAUUUAUUAUAUGCUUGUAUUUUAAAUUUUAAAUUUUAGAUUUUAAUUAUUUUUAAAUUUUUAUAGAUAAUUUUUUAGUUUAUUGAUAAUUACAUCAUUUAAAGAAAAUAAAAUAGUGGAAGAAGAGUCAGUUCACUCCUUCAUCAAAAGGUUCCAAACCGCCUCUUCAAUAUUGUCGUAAGCGACGGCAGGGCAUAUCUGCACUAAGAAACCUUAUGGCAUGAGUCAUGCUUAUGUGAAGUACCUUUUGCUUAAGAAACCAGCCACGCUGGAAGACUCUCUCUACCGAGCUUCAAGGUACAUGGAAAUGGAAGAAGAAAAUAAAUCAUCUGCUUAAAAGAACGAGCCAACAUAACAAUUAAGGAGAAGGCACAUGAAGAUAACGACAACUGAAAAAAAGGACUUAGGGGAUCAAAAAGAGAUGGAAACUCUAGAAAUCAGAGCUUUAAUGUCAGCGAAGGAAACAAAAUUGAUGGCUAUUCCUUCAAAAUUGAUGGCUAUUCACAAAAAGAAACUUCAAAACCUCGAUCAAACAUAUUAAGGUUCAAUACAUGGAACAAAGAAGAUGGCAAGAAUAAUAAAACUAAAAAAUUCUGCGAUUUCCAUAACAAAGGAGGACAUCCACUCAAUAAUUUUAUGGCUUCCAGAACUUCUUCUACUUUAUGUUUCACGUAGAAGGAUUAGUACAGCACGAGGAAUCUCUCCCAAAAAGUCACAAUGACACAGAUGAUCACAAGAUAGAUCGCGAAAACACCUUUAGCAAUGAUUCAGUAACUCAAUCAAGGGAUUGACACUCAGGUUAUAACCAGAUACACUAACUGCAAGUGCACAAUAAUAUAUGCAGUAGUAAUGCGGGAUCGAAUCCACAAGGACCAGAUACGCAAUUCAAGUCUCAGUCCGUAUCAAGCUAGAAGACACAGAGAUUUGUGUGUAACAACUAAAUAAUGCAGUAAAUAAAGAGCCAUGUAACUUAUAAAAAAGUGCUAGGCAUCAAGUAAUUCGCAGGAAAUCAAAUAAUGAAUGAAAGUAUUUUGUCAGGGAAUUAGUGAAGAACCAUUCUUAAACUCAUAAUACAGUUUUAUAAUCUUUCACUAUCGUGGCUCUAAUUACUAGGGUCUAAACAACCUGAUGAACUAACUUACAUUGAACUUAGGAAGAUAAACACGUAUAAAGAACAAGUUAUGAUAUGUUCACAAAGCACCUUAACAUCAAAAUUCACAGGCUAUGGCCACUUUGCUCACAAAGAUUUGUUUCAGACAAUUAGACCAACUUUUCCUACCUAUAAUCAACCUAAGAUCAAUGAACUAAGUGAUCAAUAAAGUUUAGAGCAAUUAAACAACUUUCCGUUUUUGUUAUUUCGAGGUGCGACUCAAUUAGGUUUUGCAGUCUUAAGUUGUUAGAACUAGGGAUCUCGCCGAUAACUCUCAUAGCCGAGGAUUCUACCCUGUUGUAACGCUCAUACGUGAAUUCAUAAUAAGACACCUUUUGCUCUUUUUACGAUUUCUUAUUUUAUUACUGUUCUCGUUUCGUGUUUUGAUUGCUUGGCGUGUGGUAUUAGCAGAUAUUCGAGACUUCUGGGAAACCAGGGUUCUCCUAGUUUCCUAAUUUAAAUGGAAAUCGACAGUGUGAAUUUUGGUUCCCACAGGUAGAAGCCGAGGCACUCAGCCGCAUCACUGAUCUCCAAAUCCGCAAGUUCAUAUGGACCCAUGUGAUCACGCGUUUCAGGGUCCCACAUGAGAUCGUAACGGAUAAUGGACCCCAGUUCACGAGUCAUAACUUCAAAGAGUUCAGCAAGGAUUGGGGCAUCAAGCUCACGUUUGCAACUCCCGGACACCCACAAUCAAAUGGGCAGGCCGAGUCCACGAACAAAACCGUGGUGAGUAUGCUGAAGAAACGCCUGGACAGCUCUCAAGGGCUAUGGGCGGAGGAACUACAUGGGGUACUCUAGGCUUACCGAACUGCCCCCAAGACGGCGACACAAGAAACUCCAUACUCGCUAGUCUAUGGUACUGAAGCCAUAAUCCUGACAGAGAUGCAUGUGAAGACCACCGUCUCCGGAGCCUUCACCCAAGAAGAAAACAACGACUUGAUGUCAUUAAGCCUGGACCUGCUCGACGAAAAAAGGGAGGCCGCUCGACUGAGGAACUGGUCCUAUCAGCAAGACGUCGCCAAAAACUACAACAAGAAAGUCAGAACCAGAACCUUCCAGCAAGGAGAUUGGGUCCUACGCUGGGUAGCCGAGAAUACUACAGGGAAACUCGCCCCCGGAUGGGAAGGACCCUACAAGGUAAUAAAGGUGCGAGGAGCAGGAGCCUACAGGCUGCAAGAUAGCAAAGGUAAAAUACAACUCAACUGCUGGAAUGCCCUGCAUCUCAAAGCUUAUCAUUUUUAACAAAGGGUCUCCGGAUCAUAGUUUUUGUUUUAUUAUUACAUAUUGUUUAAGCACCGUGGUUUCCUACUCAUAUGUAUACUAAAAGUCUCCGGACAAAGCUUAUAUAAUAAAAUAGUUCUGGCUAUAAAAGUAGUAGGAAAGCCACAAUACUUAAAGGGGCAUAUAGGGCUGGAUCAGGUUCCAUGAAACCUUCGAAACCCAGCUCAACCUCACUGACACGUAGUAUUUCCACGUGAAAACAAAUGGGUAUGAGACAUAAGGCAUGAAUGGGUCUUCGCAAACCUGAGUAUACUAUCGAUACUACCUAAAACCUCUGUAUAGCCUAAGGCAUAUCAUUUUAGUCACGUUAUAAGAUGCGGGGCGGUCAACGACUAGAAACUCCGUGAUGUUAGUCACGGUUCCGGCUUUGACAGCGAGUCUAAUCGAUCCAUAGGCCAUGGUCGUUUCCCCCGAAAGUCCUAGCAAUGGGCUUGGGUAUUUCGCGAUUUCGGAUUGACUGACCCCCAUCUUUUCAAGAGUGUCUUUGAAGAUGAUAUCGGCCGAGCUUCCGGUAUCGAUUAGUACUCUAGCGACGUCGAUAUCUCGAAUCGUCAACUCGAUAACAAGGAGAUCGUUUCGAGGUUUGGCCCGAUCGAUCGUUUCUCCCCCCCUUGAUUGAGAUGACGUUCGCGCACGUCGAAUCUCGCAUAUGGUUCCUGAUCGUUGAGUGGCUUUUGCGGGUUAGAUUGAUCCGUAAGUCCCCCUCCUUCUAGCGCCAAACUGUGGGAACCGAAAUUCACACUGUCGAUUUCCGUUUAAAUAAGGAAACUAGGAAAACCCUAAUUUCCCAGAGGACCCGGAUAUCUGUUAAUUACCACACGUCAAGCAAUCAGAACACGAGAAUAACAACGAUAAAAAUAAGAAAUCGAAAAGAGAGCAAAGUAGAUCUUAUUCCGAAUCUGCGUAUGAGCGUUACAACAAGGUAUAAGCCUGGGCUCGAGAGCUGUCGGCGAGAUUCCUAGUUCUAGCAACCCUAAGACGGCUAAACCUAAUUGAGUCGCAGCUCGAAAUAACAAAAAACGGAAAAUUGCCUAAAUUGCUCUAAGUGCUAAGUUUGCUCUGAAAAANNNNNNNNNNNNNNNNNNNNNNNNNNNNNNNNNNNNNNNNNNNNNNNNNNNNNNNNNNNNNNNNNNNNNNNNNNNNNNNNNNNNNNNNNNNNNNNNUUCGGGAGAUAGCUAUUCCGGGUAGACGAGAACACAUGGACUAAUGUCGUAUCGACGUUUUGGAAGAGCUCGGUCGCUACGUAGCGACCGAGCUUUGGAUCGAACUCGGUCGCUACGUAGCGACCUGUUUCGAGCCUUCGUCGGACAUCUCGAUUCUUUCUUCCGUAAAGCUUUUUCGUAAGACAUAGUCUCUUUUCGAAAAGUACUCUUCGGAGAAAUUUUUACUUUCUUCCUCGGAUGUUUUGGAUGUUAAAUUUGUCGUAACCGUUUUUGACCCCAACAGAGAGUGGUAAAGUCUGGCACUUGGAUUUUCAUCCACACCAGCAAAACUUUAAUAAUCAAAUAAUGGCUUUUUGCAGAGGCAGCAUGCAGCACGGGAACUCGAUAGUGACCAGCUUCCGAGCGGUAGAAGGCGAAAUCCCAAUAGGUACCAGUAGUAGUCUCUCCUAGGGAGAUACGGUCCCUGCGAAACCAUAAUUCCGGGUUAACACGAAACCCGGGUCCAGGCCCACAGGUCCUAUAACAAAACUUUCACGAGAAAUCCCAAGAACUCUCGAAAUCUUGAAAGACCUCAGGGUCCAAAUACUCAUAAACUACGGACCCAAGGUCCAUAAUCAUGCUAGGAUUUCAGGGGUCGGUCCCAGGAACCCAUAAAAUUCAAGGUCCAAAGACGACUGAAACCCCAAAUUCUCCAAAAAGCCACACGGCCCCAGGAAUUAGGUGAUUCCCACCAAGAAACGAUUCAACACGCAAAGUAGGGGCUAAAGAAUCAACUCAACGCACGAAAGGAGUCAAAAGCAACAAUCUUUUAAAGGGACCGCAAAGGAUCAACGUUCGAAACAGUAGAAGUAAAAAAGCUCAAAACACCAGCAUAAAAAAGGCGUCUCUAAAACAUUCAAAAAGACGAAUCCCCCGAGUAUCACGAUCCCACUGCAGAUCCCGAGGUAGCUACUUGAACCGGUCCUCCAGUCAUCAGCGGGUCAACUCCUUCAGCCCAGAAUAGGUAACGACGAUUUUCUUCUUCCGGAUUCAGUGAUCCACUUUCUUCUCCAGCCACUCCUUCAUAAGCCCCCAUCUAGCCGUAGCUCUCGUCCGGAGGACUAAUUGGUCCCUAUGGAACGCCAUACCCCGCACAUGGUUACGAAGGAAAAACAAUUCGGUGAGCAAUCUCUGAUGAACAGCCAUAGGAGAGAUACGAGUGGGUGGAGCUUUGGUACCAGCCGGAGGAACGAAAGAAGUACCAUAGACCGAUGAAGCAGCUCUAACCAAUCUUGGGGGAGGAGUAUCAAAGGGUCAUCUCUUUCGGGUCUUUGCCUUUUGAUACUCAUCAUAGAUAGUCGAAACCGAAAGCCUUGCAACGUUCCCUGAAGAAAGACAACACGAAAAACUAGAAGAAAGAAUUGCAAAGAAUGGAAUCUCAUCCCACACACGACUAUGGCGUAGAGCCUCCUUGCUCAUCAGGAAGUUCAUCCACCGGAAUCGUUGAGGAACUCCUAACACGAGCUUCGCCACUACCUCCCCGAUGAAAGACACCGGACGAACUACAUCUGUCAUCAUAAUAAAACAUCAGUUCUGAACAAGCGGCAAAAACAAGACGAAGAAGGUAACUUACCCGCGGUACGCCGCGAGAAAAGAAAUUUUGUGAAAAACAAUAAAGGCCGGAGAUGUCCUCUUCAAGAUAUCGGAUCUCAAGAAUCUCCGGAAGAGAUCAUCAAAACUCCAGACUCUGUCCUCCAUGUCAGAUUCAAAGAACCUGAAGAAAGACUACCAAGGCUGUGUCCUCUACAGAGAAACCAUCUCUCACUUGGGUCCGAAGAAGAAAUUCCAGCCUACGAAGAACCCAAAAGAUGAGCCCCUGGAAUGCUGUCCUGCCCGAGGGAUACCUGUUGAGAAUGAGCAACCCCGGUUGACUUGAGUGCACAAGUUAUUCCUCGAAAUCGAUGACAAAAUCGAGAAAUAAGGGGCAAACUGUUGGAGAAAAAUACUCAGGUACUACUUUCCUCUAGACCCGAGGCAGGACCCAGACCUCCGGGUCCCCGUUUUAGGAACACUCAGGAUCCCCAGUAUCGGGUACCCCGGUAUCCGUUCCUGGAACCACCUCCAGCUCCAAGAAAAGGAAAAUUACCGAUAAGGAGAAUGAUAGACCAUAUAUUUUACCCAUUUUUAAUCAUGGUCUAUAAGUGUUUUAAAGUGUUUUAAGAUACAAUUAUUAUGUUUUGGAGUCUAUUUUGAGUAUUUACAGGUUCAGGGACGUUUAGGAGAAAUAUGGUGAUUUUGGAGUCUUUUGGAGCCUUUGGAGGUGCAGAGUUGCACAGACGCGUCAUAUGUUUAGCUAUGGAUGAAGACCUUCCGACCGUUAGAUUGAGCCCAUAUUUUGACACACGAUAGAGCUUUGAGUUAGCUUUCCAAUGCCACCGGGUUCAGGUCAAUCAGCAUCCUGUAGCCGAAGUUAUCCCGUUUUACUUAGAUCCACCUGUUAGAUCCAGGGUUCAGAUAGGUUUGUGGGAUUAGCCCCAAACUAUAGAUCUGCCUUGUUGUGAUAUUCAUGAUAGAUCUAUACUUAUUGCUUGUUCUAGAGUAAUUAACUAGAAUAUUGAUCAUAUGAUUGCAUACACAAGCAUCCUUGUUAUCCAAUCCUGACAUCUAUCUAUUAUAUUAGGAUUGUUAGAGAGGGAUAACCGCCAAUUUAGCAUCCUAAUAGGGCAAAUCAUCUCGAAUUUGAGUGAUAUCAAAUUUGGCGCCGUUGCCGGGGAGCUUUGAUCGCCAUUAGAUCUUUUUAGUUAGAUUUAGUUUAAGUUUUAUUAUUGUUCGAAAAAAAAAACUCAUAAAUUUUUUUCUUCUAUUUCAGGUACAUAACUCUUAGUACCAGAAAACAAUGAAGAGAAAAUUUCUAGGUCCUUCAAGGAAGGAGCAUGCUGAUCUAUGCACGAUCCGUAAGUCUAAGAGGGAAGUAUCGAUCGACACCCUCCAAGCAGCAUCGAUCGACAGCAUACACCAUCAAUCGAUCGACACCAUUCAUCCGACGUCGAUCGACAAACGACGUACAGCGGUGAUCGACAGAGCCAACAAAUCGUCAAACAACACUGUUCACCCAUGUACUGUUCAUCCUAGUAUUGUUCAUCGCGAUACUAUUUAUCGCAACACUAUUUACCUACCAUCGAUCGACACUAUUCCAAUUCCGUCGAUCGAUACUAUUCAUGUUCCGUCGAUCGAUACUGUUCAACCGAACACUGUUCACCCAAAUACUGUUCAUCGCGAUACUAUUCAUCGCGACACUAUUCAUGUCCCGUCGAUCGACACUGUUCAUCCCGUGUCGGUCGACACUAUUCAUAUCCUCUCGAUCGACACUGUUCAUCCCGUGUCGGUCGAUACUAUUCAUAUCCCGUCGAUCGACACUUUUCAUCCCGUGUCGGUCGACACUAUUCAUCUUCCGUCGAUCGACACUGUUCAUUUUCUGUCGCUCGACACUAUUCACCCGAACACUGUUCAUCGCGAUACUGUUCAUCCGAACACUUUUCAUCGUGACACUGUUCAUCGAAACACUAUUCAUCGCUGUACUGUUCCUCCAAUGACGAACACCACUUACGGAGAGACAGAGAAGGUCGAAGCGCUCAUACUUAAGAUCGACAAGAAAGGUAUUUGGUGAGACGAAGAAGGUCGCCCUUGCAGCCUCACAGGAUAAUUGAUUAAUGCGGAGGGUAGUGUAAUCCCUGAUGUAAUUGCUGUGGCUGAGACGAAUACCUUUAAUUUGACAAGUCAAUGGUAGGAUUGGGGAAGUGAUGAUCCAUUUUACGGUCUUCCUCAUGAGGAUCCCAAAGAUCUUAUCAAGAGACUUGAGGAGUUAGCCUCAGCAAACAAGCACGAUGAAAUAUCAGCAGGCCACAUUAUCUGCAAGAUCUUCCCCUAUUGUUUAUCUAGAGAUGCUUUUAGCUGGUUCAGUAUGCUGCAACCAAGAUCUCUAACCUGCUGGGAAGACAUCAAAUGCGCCUUCCUAGGUAAAUUUUUUAGCGAAGCUGUAGUAACUCGAAGUAGAAGGUUUGAUUACAUGGUGGAUAAGAUGAUUGAAGAUCACGAGAAAGGAAUAAUCACUAGUCUUAGUCAGAUUAGUAUUAGUCAGAUUAUGGAUUUUGCCUAUAGCGAGCAAGAUGAAGAUUUUGAAAUCCCGACCAUUCAUGUCAAGCAGCCAGACAUUCAGGUUCACCAUGCAGAUAAGAGUAAGUAGAAGGACGAACUGAACAGAGAAAAACUGGUCAACCAUGAUACAUUUAAAGAUGAUGAAUAUCAUGUAUCAGGAGAGCAGAGCAAAGUAGAAGAAGCUGAUACAAAAGAUCCGACUUCAGCAUCGAUCUACAGUAGUAACUCAGAAUCGAUCGAUAUCCGCACUUCAGAAACGAUCGAUACAGAUAUUUUUCAUCGAUCAAUACCUUCUACAAUCUCUGAUGCUACCACUGUGUAUGUUAUGACUGGACGACCGAAGGCAAUUAGAGACUAUAACAGUCCUGAGGAUGCUUAUGCUAAAAGGUCUGCAUUGCGUCGUUCAGCACUUCAGAAUACUGUCCUUGAGCUGCACACUGCAUAUAUCUCUCUUGUGGGUCAGCAUUCUUUCCAUGGUUUUCCUCAUGAAGAUCGCACUUUCCACCUGGAGACAUUUGUAGAUAUGGCAUCGACCAUCAUAUGCAAUGGAGUCUCUGAAGACUACUAUUUAUGCAAAUUAUUCUCAUACUCUCAUGCUGGAGAAGCAGCAUAUUGGUUCAGGAAGUUGCCACUAGGAUCUCUCACUACCUGAAAUGACAUCAGAUACGCCUUCCUCAACAAAUUUCUCUAUGAUGCUGCAGCAAAUCUAGAGAUUGAGAUAAGGUCUAUGCUGGAAUAUAUGGUGGAGGAUGAUGAGCAACAUGAGUCUGGAAAGCUGAGCACAGUAGAAGUAGCUGAUAUUAGUGACAUGAGCUCAUCAUCGAUCGACACCCUUACCAUAACAUCGAUCAUCACCCCCACCUCAUCGUCGAUCGACCCCAAUACCUCAGAAAUGAUCGACACAGACUAUUGUCAUCGAUCGAUUCCACUUGAAAUCCCUGAAAGAUCGAGUUGUCCUCAGGACAUUGCAAACUCGACACAGGAGAGCAUCGAUGAAUCAAGCUGUGAUCUUACCUCAGGUGUCGACAAAGUCACUCUGAAAGACUUUCUGGAGUUGGAAGAAUGGUUUUGGCAGAAGCUUGAUGAUCAGCCCGCUUCGGGAAAAGGUCUGGAAAAUUCCUUAAAGGCUGACGACAUCGACCGAUAUAAACCUGAUGAGAUCGAUCGACACCCACCCUACGACAUCGAUCUACAGUCGCCGUCUAACAUUGAUCAACAUACACCUGACUGUAUCGCUCGAUACCUACCCGAUUGCAUCGAUCGACACCCAUGUUUGGAUGAACUAUCAGGAUACAUGAUUGAACCAGAACUGGUUGGAAGAAAAGAACACACGUCUGGAGCCUCACACCUUGCUGUCCCCGAAAAUCUAAGACCACCUCUAUGCAAAGAAGAAGAUGUUGGGAUUUGCAAAAGAGUGAAGAGGAUACAUGAUCCUGUGAAGAUUAUGGUUCCAUGUGCAGUGUUUGAAGUUGAAUCUCCUAUCCCACCAGAUAAAGGUGUGUAUCUGAGUUCUUACAUUGAGGUAUUCAAUGAGAAACAUCAUGUAGAAGCUUCUCAGAAAGGGCUGCGAUUUAGAGAUGAAGGCCUAGCAAAAGCACCAUCGAACAACAUCAGCAAAUCGGAAUUGAGCGACACUAACACUUCAUCAUCAAUCGAUACCGAUCAGAUACCAUCGAUCGACACCCUUCGCGUAUCAGAGCAGAAUGAGUUAGAAGUGUGUCAACAUCCUUUUGAUGGAGGCACCACCACGCGAUCAGACAAGUCUGGGGGAAAGAAGUGGAAGAACUGGAAGAAGAGAAAAAGAAUUAAUGAAGGUUCUCAGUUAUCAUUGAUUCCUCACUUCUCAGAUGAUACCAGGAAAUCCAGAGUGGGAUUACACAAGUCUGUGGGAAAGAAGGGGAGAAAUUGGAAGAAGCGGAAACGAACCAAAGGAGGUUCUCAAUUACCAUUGACUCUUUACUUCUCAGAUAGUAUCAUAAAAUCAAGAGUGCGCAGCAAAUGCUUCUCACAUCCAUAUGCAAAACUUAUAGCACUCCUUAUUGUUGAGAUGAUAGACAAAGGAGAAGGGUAUAUGGAGGAGGCUUUCACACAAGAAUGAUAAAGCUUCAAAGAGUAGACAUUGAGACUUGGUUUGGAGCAAGUUCUCAUUCUUAUGCGGACUUAAUCAGAUCUCCAGAAGUCAAGCUAAUGACUAAAAAUAAGCGCUGAGUGGGAGGCAACCCACUGUUAGGUAAUUUUAAAUAUGGUUUAUCUUUCAUUUAUUACUGAUUCUUUGUUUUCUAAAGAUUUCAGGUAAAAAAAAAAAGAUGAACAGUAACGACGGUACUGUGGCAGAGACAUUGUAGCAGCAACAUCGAGACUGUAGCAAAGCACUGUUCAUCGAAAAAAUAUUAUUAUUAUUAUUUUUUAUUGAUUAUUGGUUUUAUUAUUUAUUUAUUAAUUGUAUUAAAUGUUUUGUUUAUGUUAGUAAAAGGACAAGAUCCGAGGAAGACGAGAUUGCAGGAGAAUAGAUGAUGGCUACGUAGCAUCGAUUGACAGAGCAUCAAGAGUAUCGAUCGCCACUUAACUGUGUUGCUCCACACUCACAUUCAAGCAAGUAUACCGUUUUUUCUUGUUAAAUAUUGUCCUUAUUAUUUAUUUUCCCACCAAUCUUAGACUGGAUAGCGCUAGUGAUAGUGUUGUUUAAGUCUAGGGGAGGUUCUACUAAUAUUGUGUUCUAGUUAAAAAAAAGAAAGAAAAAAAAAACAGAUCGUAGUAGACGAUUGCUCAGCACAUCGACCGAUGAGACCAUGUCACUAUCGAUCGACAGCGCUUCAUAUCCAACAAACAGUUGUCUCUUCAUUGUGUCGAAUGAUUUCUCAAGCCAUCGACCGAUGAGACCAUGUCACUAUCAAUCGACAGCACUUCAUCAACAUCGAUCGAUUGUCUAUUCAUUGUGUCGAUCGACACUGAUGUCGAGCAGAUUAUCGUUCUUACUUGUUAAAUUGUCUACUUAUUAUUUCUGUUCUAACCAUAACUCCGACUAGAUAUACACUGGGGACAGUUUAAUUUAAGUCUGGGGGGAUGUUUACUGAUAUUUGCUUAUCUAUUGAAUUUUAUAAAAUGUUUUCAAAACUGUUUUUAUUGAGUCAAGAAGGGGAUAAUGAACUUAUUAGAUUCAUGCUUGUUAUCUAACCACUCUUUAGCACCAUUCUAGACUUACUGAUUGCAGAUAGUACUAAAGAUACUAAAGUGGAUCAACAUGUCAACUAUGUUCACACUUGCUGAGAUUGUUUGAAGGAACCGAAGCUGACCUCCAACCUAAUUUGACUUAACUACUUGUCUUGGGGCUUGGUAUACACUGGAUCGGAUUCCUCCUUCAGGUCUGAAAGGUAAAAGUCUGAGUGAUUUUGGUUUCCUUAUCUCCUCCCUUUGGCAUCCUAAUAAAAUAAAAUAAAAGGUUGAGAUGAUUUCUUGCGGUUUAGAGGGGUAGGUACAUUACCGAUGACCCCAUUAUUCUACUCUAAUAGAAUGAUCACACAUUGUUGGAAGGAGGGGUAGGUACAUUACCGAUGACUCCACUAUUCACCUACACUUUGUCAAGAAAAGAAAAAAAAAAUAAUAAUAAAAAAAUCGAAAAGAAGGUGAAUAAGAUGGACAACAUCAGCAUCUUUGUUCAUUGGAAUUGAGAUAAAAAGGAUUCAGAGAAGGGAGAUAUAGAGUAAAAGAAACCAGAACAAGACUAUCUGUUUACUCAGAUACCUGUUGGGGCAAGAGUCCAUGUGUCUUGUGAUCGAUACUCCCAAGGUAAAGCAUACACAUUUAUUUAUGUUAAGAAAUGAGGUUGGUAGAGGGGAAUGUCAGACAUGAUUUGCUAAGAUGUUGGCUAGGUGAAUUUGGUUGCUAAGCUAGGAUAUUGUAUAAUGUGCUUCUGUGAUUAGGACUUCUUAGAUGUGGAUUGCAAUAUUGUAGAGGUGAUGAUUCUAAGUUUUAAAUCAUGUGAGUCCCUGCUGUUUUCAAAACCUCUUUCAGAGAGACUGCCCGUUGGUUUUGCUUGAGGACAAGCAAAAGGGUAAGUCUGGGGGAGUUGAUAGACCAUAUAAUUUACCCAAUUUUAAUCAUGGUCUAUAAGUAUUUUAAAGUGUUUUAAGAUACAAUUAUUAUGUUUUGAAGUCUAUUUAGUGUAUUUACAGGUUCGGGGACGUUUAGGAUAAAUAUGGUGAUUUUGGAGUCUUUUGGAGCCUUUGGAGGUGCAGAGUUAUACAGACGCGUCAGAUGUUUAGCUAUUGAUGGAGACCUUCCGACCGUUAGAUUGAGCCCAUAUUUUGACACAAGAAAUAUCAUUGAGUUAACUUUCCAAUACCACCGGUCUCAGGUCAAUCAGCAUCCUGUAGCAGAGGUUAUGCCCGUUUUACUGAAGAGUGGUCAGUCUGCCUCGCGAGAGGAAGCUGCCGAGAAGAGGAAGCCACGUUGAUCGAUGCAGCACUAUGCACGUCGAUCGAUGGAGAUCCCAGAUCGUGGGCCUUGUAUAUUUUAUGACUGCGUUAAGCCCAGAAGCCACAAAUUACCAAAAUACCCUUGGACGACCAGAAACCCUAUUUAUGUUAUUUCUAAGCCAUUGUUGACGGCUACGCGUUCUAGACUUCUUUACGCUUUCAUUUCCAUUGUUUCUAUGAGAGGAGAGAAGGGAGGAACUCCUAUCAGAGUCCUCCUGGAACUCCUUUGGUUUUAUUGAUUUAUUUCAUUUCAGUAUUUCUAUCUAUUCAUCUAUGAUUUUUGUUUUCAUGUCUGAGUAGAUCCACCAGUUAGAUCCAGGAUUCAGAUAGGUUUGUGGGAUUAGCCCCAAACUAUAGAUCUGCCUUGUUGUGAUAUUCAUGAUAGAUCUAUACUUAUUGCUUGUUCUAGAGUAAUUAACUAGAAUAUUGAUCAUAUGAUUGCAUACACAAGCAUCCUUGUUAUCCCAUCCUGACAUCUAUCUAUCAUAUUAGGAUUGUUAGAGAGGGCUAACCGCCAAUUUAGCAUCCUAAUAGGGCAAAUCAUCUCGCGCAUAGGCCUGGCUAGAACCCGUCGAUCGAUGUCCUCAACUGACUAACGGUCAACGUAGGCAAAGGUGUAUCGGUCGAUGUCCCUAUAGGACCAUCGAUCGACACUUUUUCGUUGUCAACAUACUAACCGUUGAGACACGAGAUCUAGCAUGUUAACCAGUGAAACAUGCGACAGCUGAUCACUGAGUUAAGCGGUUGAGCUCUAACAUAUCAUGCAUGCAACAAAUAGGUACCUAUAGGAAUUAAAAUCUCCAACACCUGAAUAGAAACCCUAGAUCUAGCAACCAUCCUUCCAUCGAACAACCCUUGCCAAACUGAACAAUUGACUUGUUCAACUUGUUUACUGCUUUGUUUAUUUAAUUGCUAUUUUACUGCUUUAUAAUCUAUUAGCCUAGUUUAUUAUAAAUUGUUUAGAUCUAAUCGGUUCCCUAGCUCCUUGUGGAUUCGAUCCCUAAGUACUAUAACUCGACUUAUUUUGAUGACAGUAACACUCUUUAGGGUAAUUUGAGUGAUAUCAGAGAACCUUCCAUAUUUUCGAAUAUGGAAGACUUCCAUCUACUCCACCCGACCUAUGGACGAUUAUAUAAGGAGAACCCAAACCCUAGAACAAGAGAUCGAGACUUUGAGGCUUAGAGAUUAUACUUAGACGGCUAGGGCUAGGGUUUAUACCAAAAAUACUUGUAAUCCUUGCUUGUCUAUUCAAUAAAGAACUCUUCAAGUCUCUUUUCCUCUAAUCUCUCAUAAAUCCUUACGAAAAACCUAUAAAUCUAUACUAAACAUUAGCUCGUCCAUCGUUCCGUGGUACUCUAAAAGAUCCUAUACAAAAAUCCCCUAACAUUUUCCUCUCGAUGGUGUUCUUGGUGUUGCUGCUGGAUGCUAGGUUUUCAAUAACCUUGACUGCCUCCUCUGGAUUCCUGGUGUUGAAGUUUCCAUUGCUGGAAGCAUCAAGAGCCAUCUGGUACUGCACCGCGAUGUCUCUGUAGAAAGUACUUCAUUGAAUCCAUGGUGUGGACAAUCUCUCUGAUAAGACUUGAAUCUGAUCCAAGAGCCCCUGAAUGAUUUUGCAGGCUCCUGAGUGAAUGUAGCAAUCUUACUCCUCAAGUCUUCAGCACGCGCUUCAUCAAAGAAAUUGCAUAAGAAUGCAUUCUUGAUGUCGCUUCAGGAUUUAAGAGAUCCUGGUUGUAACUGCUUGAGCCAAUGCAUAGCUUCUCCAGCAAGUGAGUACCUGAAGAGCUUGCAUAACAAGUAGUCCUCAAAGACUCCCUCGACUCUAACAGCAGAAAUCAGAUCCUCGAACCUCUCCAGAUGGUCCAUAGGAUGCUCGUAGGAUAAUCCAUGGUAGGGUAACUGUCCCACAAGCGUGUAGUACUGCGCUUUCAACUCAGAAUCCCUCUCGAUAGUGGGAGGACGAAUGGCUGAUCUGUUAGUGUAGUAUCGAUGUGGACGAUUUUAGUCAGCCAAUGUUCUGGGUUGUGCAGCCUCGUCCAUAGGUAAAGUAGUACCUGUAACAUUAACAUCAAGUUCAGGGAUUGCAGCCCCCUAAGCAUCUAUCCUCUGACCUGCUGCAUUACGCAGAUGACCCUCCUGGUCAUGCAGGUCUUCAUUGUUAUCUCGUACAAGUAUCCAAGGUGCAACCAUGCCUCGCGGCUCAGUAUCGAUUGAUGUCUAGGAUGGAGUAUCGAUCGAUGUCGGAUGAAGGAUGUUGGUCGACGGAAGGUGAGUGUUGUCGAUCGACAGGUGUGAGCGAGUAUUGGUCGACGAAACUAGUGUCUGGGUCGAGUGUGGUUGAGAAGAAUCGAGCGACACACAAGUGGUGUUGUCGGUCGAUGAGGAGCGCGCUUCCUUGCGGAUCGAAAGUUCCAAACUUGCAGGAUCUGGUGAGAAUAGCAGUUGACUUUCUAUGUUGCUUCUGGUACUACUGGGCAUGUACCUGAAAAUCCAAGAAAAGUCUUAUGUCAGAAACUUAACAAAAAUUAGAUAAAUAGGCGAUCAAAGCUCUCCGGCAACGGUGCCAAAUUUGAUACCACUCAAAUUAUCCUAAGGAGUGAUUUAUACUCUCUUAAAUAAGAGGUCGAGUUGUAGUACUUAGGGAUCGAAUUCACAUGGAGCUAGGGAACCUAGGAAAUCUAAUAUGAUUUGUUAAGCAAGAUUGGUUUUAGAGUUUUUAAAUAUAAAUUGCAGUUUUUAUAUUGAACAAGUAUUUGUUCAAUAGCUGGUUUCUGGUUUUGGUGCUUAAAAAUAAAAUAGUUAGUGUGGGAAACAAAAUUCGCACUUUUGAUUUCCGUUUAAAUAAGGAAAGUAGGAGAACCCUAGUUUCCCAGAGGUCCCGGAUAUCUGCUAAUACCAUACGCUAAGCAAUCAGAACACGAGAUAACAACGACAAAGUAUAAAAAUCGUAAAAAGAGAGCAAAGAGAAGUCUUAUUCUGAAUUUGCGUAUGAGCGUUUACAACAAGGUAUAAGCCUGGGUUCGAGAGCUGUCGGCGAGAUUCCUAGUUCUAGCAACCCUAAGACGGCUAAACCUAAUUGAGUCGCAGCUCGAAAUAACAAAAACGGAAAGUUGCCUAAUUGCACUAACUGCUAAGUUUGCUGUGAAAAAGUUCUCCCUGUCUCCUCUCGCCUAGGACUCCUUAUAUACUCGCUCCUAGGUCGGUUUAUGCUUUUUCCCUUCUGCCCUUAAGCCGUCAUAGCAUAAAAAUGGAGAUAUUCCAUUUUUCCCGAUCUUCGUAAUUAUCUUUGAAAAUAGAGAGAGAAAGGGUGAUUAAUCUUUCCACACAAGGCUUUACCUUCCAGAUUUGUUUGAAGAAUCUGAUCCCAUGUAUACCAAGCCCAAGACUAGCAGUUGUGUCAAGUUUAGUGUUGGAGAUCAGCUUUGGUUCCUUCAAACAAUCUCAACAAGUGUGAAUAGUUGAUAGGUUGAUCCACUUUAGUAUCUUUAGUACUAUCUACAAUCAGUAAAUCUAGAAUAGUGCUAAAGAGUAGUUAGAUAACAAGCAAAAUCUAUAAGUUCAUUAUCCCCUUCUUGACUCAAUAAAACUUUUUGAAAAACAUUUUUAAUAAGACUCAUAAAUAGAUAACUAUCAGUAAACCUCCCCCUAGACUUAAACUACACUGUCCUCAGUGUAAAUUAUGUCGGAGUUACGGUGAAAACUAAAUCAUACGGACCCAAUUUAACAAGUUAGAACGAUAUACCAGACCGGAAUGGAUGUCGACCGAUGUAGGGUUGUUGAUAUCGGUCAAGGCAGGUGUGGCAAUGUCGAUAGCGUCUCGUCGGUCGAUACUCACGGCAAUCGUCUACUAGGAUUUUUUUUAUGACCUGCAAUAAUGAAAAACCAACAUAAAUAGUAUAUCAAUAAAAAUAGAUCAAUAUUACCUAAUAGUGGGUUGCCUCCAUGUAACACCCCCGAACCAUCCUAAGCAUAGGUCGACCCACCGGCCAACAUUCAAACAAGAACAUGACCGACGGACGAUUCACACCAAGGGUUGUAGAUGAAAGGCCAACCGGCCAGCCAACAGUCAAACAAGAACAUGACUGACCAAGGUGCAACCAUGCCUCGCGGCUCAGUAUCGAUUGAUGUCUAGGAUGGAGUAUCGAUCGAUGUCGGAUGAAGGAUGUUGGUCGACGGAAGGUGAGUGUUGUCGAUCGACAGGUGUGAGCGAGUAUUGGUCGACGAAACUAGUGUCUGGGUCGAGUGUGGUUGAGAAGAAUCGAGCGACACACAAGUGGUGUUGUCGGUCGAUGAGGAGCGCGCUUCCUUGCGGAUCGAAAGUUCCAAACUUGCAGGAUCUGGUGAGAAUAGCAGUUGACUUUCUAUGUUGCUUCUGGUACUACUGGGCAUGUACCUGAAAAUCCAAGAAAAGUCUUAUGUCAGAAACUUAACAAAAAUUAGAUAAAUAGGCGAUCAAAGCUCUCCGGCAACGGUGCCAAAUUUGAUACCACUCAAAUUAUCCUAAGGAGUGAUUUAUACUCUCUUAAAUAAGAGGUCGAGUUGUAGUACUUAGGGAUCGAAUUCACAUGGAGCUAGGGAACCUAGGAAAUCUAAUAUGAUUUGUUAAGCAAGAUUGGUUUUAGAGUUUUUAAAUAUAAAUUGCAGUUUUUAUAUUGAACAAGUAUUUGUUCAAUAGCUGGUUUCUGGUUUUGGUGCUUAAAAAUAAAAUAGUUAGUGUGGGAAACAAAAUUCGCACUUUUGAUUUCCGUUUAAAUAAGGAAAGUAGGAGAACCCUAGUUUCCCAGAGGUCCCGGAUAUCUGCUAAUACCAUACGCUAAGCAAUCAGAACACGAGAUAACAACGACAAAGUAUAAAAAUCGUAAAAAGAGAGCAAAGAGAAGUCUUAUUCUGAAUUUGCGUAUGAGCGUUUACAACAAGGUAUAAGCCUGGGUUCGAGAGCUGUCGGCGAGAUUCCUAGUUCUAGCAACCCUAAGACGGCUAAACCUAAUUGAGUCGCAGCUCGAAAUAACAAAAACGGAAAGUUGCCUAAUUGCACUAACUGCUAAGUUUGCUGUGAAAAAGUUCUCCCUGUCUCCUCUCGCCUAGGACUCCUUAUAUACUCGCUCCUAGGUCGGUUUAUGCUUUUUCCCUUCUGCCCUUAAGCCGUCAUAGCAUAAAAAUGGAGAUAUUCCAUUUUUCCCGAUCUUCGUAAUUAUCUUUGAAAAUAGAGAGAGAAAGGGUGAUUAAUCUUUCCACACAAGGCUUUACCUUCCAGAUUUGUUUGAAGAAUCUGAUCCCAUGUAUACCAAGCCCAAGACUAGCAGUUGUGUCAAGUUUAGUGUUGGAGAUCAGCUUUGGUUCCUUCAAACAAUCUCAACAAGUGUGAAUAGUUGAUAGGUUGAUCCACUUUAGUAUCUUUAGUACUAUCUACAAUCAGUAAAUCUAGAAUAGUGCUAAAGAGUAGUUAGAUAACAAGCAAAAUCUAUAAGUUCAUUAUCCCCUUCUUGACUCAAUAAAACUUUUUGAAAAACAUUUUUAAUAAGACUCAUAAAUAGAUAACUAUCAGUAAACCUCCCCCUAGACUUAAACUACACUGUCCUCAGUGUAAAUUAUGUCGGAGUUACGGUGAAAACUAAAUCAUACGGACCCAAUUUAACAAGUUAGAACGAUAUACCAGACCGGAAUGGAUGUCGACCGAUGUAGGGUUGUUGAUAUCGGUCAAGGCAGGUGUGGCAAUGUCGAUAGCGUCUCGUCGGUCGAUACUCACGGCAAUCGUCUACUAGGAUUUUUUUUAUGACCUGCAAUAAUGAAAAACCAACAUAAAUAGUAUAUCAAUAAAAAUAGAUCAAUAUUACCUAAUAGUGGGUUGCCUCCAUGUAACACCCCCGAACCAUCCUAAGCAUAGGUCGACCCACCGGCCAACAUUCAAACAAGAACAUGACCGACGGACGAUUCACACCAAGGGUUGUAGAUGAAAGGCCAACCGGCCAGCCAACAGUCAAACAAGAACAUGACUGACCGUCCAACCCAACACCAUGGUCCGGAAGCGCUACAUGACAGGCUAGGGACGAUCCGGUCAGAGUCACAAAAUUUACUUCACGACCUCGACCAGUUCAUCCACUAACUCGUCCCGCUGCGUCAAGGCACAAGGCUUUGCAACCCGGCUAAGAGUUAGCGUUUUUCGUUAGAUCGAGGCCUAAGGCUUUUCAACCCGUACUACGACCUAACGUUGUGUUAGACCGGACUAGUCAAAUAUCAGAGUCACUACAAGAAAACAUCAAUAUUGCUACAACAAGAAUAGUUAUAAGAUAGUUGCAAAUGAAGAAAAUGCAACUAUUUUGCAACUAUUAUAUAUAGUUAGAAAAAGCUCAUCGGAAAAAAGGAUAGUUGCAAAUUAGUUGUGAAAGAGCGACUAUAGUAUAACUAUACAACUAGUGGCAUAUUAGCAACUAACUUGCGACUAAAGCUACGGUUGCACAAAAUUUAACACCACACCUUUUAGUCAUACUUUCGUCAUAAAACUGUAGUUGCUAUUUAGUCUCUUUUCUAAUUUGCAACUAGUUUACAACUUUUGUAAUUAUAAGUAUUUUUCUUCCAGAAUAUUAUUUAGUUAGAAGUUAGUGGCUAAAGCUAGCAACUAAUUGGUGACUACUAUCUUGAUAGUUAGUUACAAAUUAGUCAUAAAGAUUUAUGACUCUUUAACAACUACAUUAUUGAUAUCUUUACGAAUUAGUAUCACAAAUUUAGUGGUUAAUAAACUCUUAAUUUAUUAAAUAUUAGUUCCGAAUUCAAAUUUAAAUAUUAAUUUCAUAUUAAUUAAAAAGUUAAAUUACAAAGAUAAAUACAUAUAUAAAGUCAUCCAAGAGAGAAGAAAGGAGAGAGAAAGGUGAGCGAAAUUUGCUCUCUAGUACCCCCUUGUGGGAUCAAGUUGUAUCUUAUUGGGGCUCGUGUAAAAGCAGAUCUAGGUGGAGUGUAAACAAAUCUCACACGUUUCCUUUCCGAAAGUUCAGUACUUUUUCACUAUUUUACUUUAUUUUGCUUGGGAAAUUAAAGAAUUAAGUGUUUCUACCCAACUGUUCUUCAAGCUUUGAAGUCCGGUGGUUGAACAAUUAAUUGAGAUCUGAGAACUGAGGGGCUUUAUAACGAAAAUUCAAGAUGUCUGCUGCUAUGGAUAGAGCUCUUAUGGCUCUAUCACUGGAGGAAGAAGAAGAAGAUGUUCCGUUCACGAUGCCAGAGCUGCCGGGCUUUAGUUCAGCGGAAGAAAACUCACUUAGCAUCAUAGGAAGAACGCUCUACCCGGAACAACAAAAAAUUUCAGGGUUGAUUCUCACCAUGCCACGAAAAUGGCAAAAAGAAGGAAGGGUUAGAGGAGUGGCUCUGUCAGAUGAAAAGUUUCAGUUCAUUUUCAGAACUGAACACGACCUUCUGGAUGUGCUGGAGAAAGGAGUACAAACAUUUAAUGAUUGGGCUAUUGUACUAGAGAGAUGGGUAGAGAAUCCCCCUGAAGACUACUUGCAAUACAUUCCUCUUUGGGUACAGAUUAGCAAAAUCCCAGUAAACUACUACACUCAGGCUGCGCUGAUGUCCCUUGGCGAAAUGAUCGGAGAAGUAAAGGUUUUGGCCUUUGACCCUACUAAGCCGAUUACACAACCUUUCAUCAGAGUUCAGGUACGCUUCAACGUAGCCAAACCGCUGAGGAUGGCAAAAGUGCUGAAUAUGGGUGAAGGAAGAACUCACAUCAUCCACUUCGACUACGAGCAGCUUCAGAAACGCUGCUACACCUGCAAGCGACUUAAUCAUGAAAAGAGCAUCUGUCCUUUGGAGGUUAAGAAAAGACAGGAAGCAGCUACGUUGAGAAGGGAAAAGAUCAUAGCGGAGAAGACUAAACCGACCACGGUUUUGAUACAGAGUGACCCGCUUUUUGGAGUUCUUGAAGAGGAGCAGGUUGGUCUUAACCCGCUCACGGGGAGACCAAAAAUUACGACUGAGGUGCUGGAGGAGAUGAGGAGAUUCCUCAUGGCUGAUACAGGUGAAUCGUUGGCAAUUAAGAUUGACAAAGUGAAGAAGUCGGUUGCUGAGACAGAGCGUGACCCGAUUCUCCAAAAGACAGUUCUCCGCCUGGAAGCUGCACCGAUCAUCACCACAAACCUCAACAAAGGCAAAGGCCACAUCUUUGAUUUCAGCGACCAGGAGAUUGUUAGAGGUGAAUGGGACGUAAACGUCAACUCAGACAAGCUUAUGGCAGCUUCUAUGAGGGCAAAUAGAAGCUCUUCUCACCAGUCCCCUCUGUUGCUUUCCAGUAAAAGCUUUAUUGAUGAUCCUAAGGGUGAGACAAUGGGUGCUUUUUCUAACAGUCCUACGGUUUUCAGAGCUGGUUCUUUAACACCAUGCUUUAC
rnacentral:lncRNA from 1 species